GACGAGCCUGAGGCUAUGUAUGGAGAGGGAGUUAGCUGCUGGGAGUGAUUGUUGUAAUUUAUGAUGCUGAACGGAAAUAUCGGGAAAGAGCAAAACCAACUGCACACGUAACCCCAGGACUUGACCUCGUCUCAUUAAUUCCACCUCAGUCCAAAGGGAUUGUGUCCGUGGGGGGCGGUUUGUCCCUCCGAGCCACUCGGCAGCCGUCAUCACAGGCUCCCAGCUGACGAAGGUUGGUGGGAAGAGGUCGUCCUGGAACAGCUCCGUCUGGAACAAGUUUUGCAAUGAAUAUGGAGCGUGUCUCGAAGGCUUUACGGAUCGAGGCCAGUUUGGAGGGAUUCUCCUCUUCCGGCUCCUCCUGAAUCUCCUGCAAGAGUGGAAGACCUUUUAGAGCUGUCAUAUAUUUUGUUUCAUUCUUUGGAUUUUUCUCAAGUGACGCAAAUGUUUAUUUCCAAGAGCAGAAAAAAAUAAGCCGGGUAAAAAUAUAUAUGGCAAAAAAAAUAUUCCUCAAACUCAAAUGGCCAUCGCUUGACAGGAGAAAAAAGGCAUAAAAUAUGCAUGUAAACCACCUGCUGCCCAACAUAAGCAAAGCUACAAAGCUUGUGCAAAGGAAAUGCAAAAAAAUAAAAAUAAAAAUAAAAAGAACACAAGUAAACUAAUGAUAAGAGAGAGAGGAAAAAAAAACAUACCUCAAUGCCAAUCUUUCUUUUUCCUUUAAAGAUGACAGAGGGGAAAAGAGUAACAAAUGAAAAAAAAGAAACAAUUAAGCACUGCAUAACAACUACAAAAAACAAAAAAUUCUAUUUUACAUGGUCUGACGAAUACUGUAGUAUCCCUAUGUCUAAUCUAAAACAAAAAAAAAAAACAUCAAACAAAUAGCAAGUUAAACAUAAAAAGGUCAAAUACAACAUUAGAACUAUCAAAUAUCUCUCUAAGUAGAAA